UACGUAGGGUGCGAGCGUUAAUCGGAAUCACUGGGCUUAAAGGGUGCGUAGGCGGCGCUGCAAGUGCCUUGUGAAAUCCCAUCGCUUAACGAUGGAACUGCUCGGUAGACUGCAGUGCUUGAGGUUGGUAGGGGCUGCCGGAACUCUAGGUGGAGCGGUGAAAUGCGUAGAUAUCUAGAGGAACGCCCAAGGCGAAGGCAGGCAGCUGGGCCAAUUCUGGACGCUGAGGCACGAAAGCGUGGGGAGCAAACGGG
rnacentral:rRNA from 1 species